rnacentral:rRNA from 1 species
GGCCGGGUGUGUAAGCGCAGCGAUGCGUUGAGCUAACCGGUACUAAUGAACCGUGAGGCUUAACCUUACAACGCCGAAGC